GACGAACGCUGGCGGCGUGCCUAACACAUGCAAGUCGAACGGAAAGGCCCUGCUUUUGCGGGGUGCUAGAGUGGCGAACGGGUGUGAAACACGUGAGUAUCCUGCCCUUGACUUUGGGAUAACUUCAGGAGACAGGGACUAAUACCUGCUAGCAGCUCCUGCAGCAUGGUGGUGGUCGGACAGAAUCGGCGGAGGGGGCUGGACUUGGGGCUAACCAGCUGGUGGGUGGGGGAGUGGCUUACCAAGGCAUUGACAGGUAGUCGGCCAGGGAGGGUGACCGGGCACCAUGGGCCUGAGAGACGCACCAGACGCCAACGUGAGGCAGAAGUCGGGAAUAUGACACAAUGGUCGGAAGCCUGAUGCGGCAACGCCGGGAGCGGGAUGACGGCCUUCGGGUUGUGAACCGCUUUCGCCUGAGACGAUGCGUGAGUGACGGUAAUGGGUAAAGAAGCACCGGCUAACUACGUG
rnacentral:rRNA from 1 species